rnacentral:misc_RNA from 1 species
GAUGAAGAACGCAGCGAACUGCGAUAAGUAAUGUGAAUUGCAGAAUUCAGUGAAUCAUCGAGUCUUUGAACGCACAUUGCGCCCCCUGGCAUUCCGGGGGGCAUGCCUGUCCGAGCGUCAUUACAACCCUCAAGCUCAGCUUGGUGUUGGGCCCCGCCGCCCCGGCGGGCCCUAAAGUCAGUGGCGGUGCCGUCCGGCUCCGAGCGUAGUAAUUCUUCUCGCUCUGGAGGUCCGGUCGUGUGCUCGCCAGCAACCCCCAAUUUUUUUCAGGUUGACCUCGGAUCAGGUAGGGAUACCCGCUGAACUUAAGCAUAUCAAUAAGCGGAGGA